CAGUAGCCACGGUAAUACAGAGGGUGCGAGCGUUAAUCGGAUUUACUGGGCGUAAAGCGUGCGUAGGCGGCUUCUUAAGUCGGAUGUGAAAUCCCUGAGCUUAACUUAGGAAUUGCAUUCGAUACUGGGAAGCUAGAGUAUGGGAGAGGGUGGUAGAAUUCCAGGUGUAGCGGUGAAAUGCGUAGAGAUCUGGAGGAAUACCGAUGGCGAAGGCAGCCAUCUGGCCUAAUACUGACGCUGAGGUACGAAAGCAUGGGGAGCAAACAGGAUUAGAUACCCCUGUAGUCCCUGUCUCUUAUAA
rnacentral:rRNA from 1 species